rnacentral:lncRNA from 1 species
AAAAUUGAAAUAAUACAAGACUAACAAAGGCCAGAGGCUCCUGACUUGGGACAGGCGCAAAAAUGCGGCGGGGUUAAACAUGUUUGUGAGAUCUAAACCCUCCCCCUAUACCUCUAGCCAAUGUAGAAAAGUAAACGCAUAACAAUACGCACAUUAAAAUUCAGUUCAAGAGAAGUUCGAGUCUGAUGUCAGAAGAUGUAACCAAAGAAAAC